rnacentral:lncRNA from 1 species
CUCCCAAUGAAUUAAGUAGUUAACUGGUUAUGACUGAAUUUCUGUAAAUACUGGAUAGCUCGAACUGAACAUGCAAACUGAGAAUGCAAUAAUUAAUCUGAUAAUGAUGCAUUAAUAACUGAGACAUGUAUAACUGAAUAACUGAGAUAUCUAACCUAGCAUGUGUAAUUCAAGAACUAAGAAAUACAUAGCUAGGUUCUGAAAUUCAUGUGAGAAACGAUGUAAUAACAUGAUAAUCUGAUUUGGAACAUUUAAAUAACUAAUUCAUAAAGAUCUGUUGAGAUUCUAGAACCCUAGGUCUGUUCAUAAUCAUGGAAUCAAGAAUCUGACUGAAUUCUAGGGACCUAAUGGGCGAAAGGAAACCACUAGUGAAAUUCUACAUACCUGGUGACGAAUUUCACGGAGAAAUCUUUCGAUUUUGGGGUUGGAACUAAAGGAACCUUGCUGCGUUCUUGAACUAGGGUUCUUGACCUUUUUCUCCUCUUCUUGAUUCUAAUUUUCUAAGUUUUAAUUAAUGAUUUGACUUAGGUAAGUUCUAGUUAUGUUUCUAGGCUUAAACUGAUUAAAACCUCGUGAUUUAGGGUCUAAAUGACGUAUCUUAGGGUUAAAUGAAAUAGGAAAAGACCAAAAGACCCCUGACUUAACUGUUGUCGGAGUGAUCGACGGAUUGGACUGACGGGCCGUAGGUUAAUCGACGGUCCGUCGAUUGGAGUUUUCGAUCGAGUCUGCCCGACUGGGCUUCACUAAAGCAAGCAUAACUUUUUACUCGGAUGUCGGAUUUAACAAACUCGGUGGAGUUGGAAAGAUAAUUCAAUUAUCUAUCAUAUCAUAGGUUAUGGGACACCUAAUUCAUUUUGUGCUAAAAGUUAUGACCAUCUGAAUUUGACCCAUUAAUUAUUUUCAGCUAACUGGUUGUUGACCCUAACUUACGGUCAGACCUACGGACCGUGGAUCGAUUGAUGGUCCGUGCUGGUUGACCGUAGUUUGUGUCAGAGAUUGGGUAAAUGAGGUCUCAAUCCACGGACACAGACCACGGACCGUGGGUUUGUCCGUUAGUCGGGACUUAGCCGAUUUUUCUGAGCUUGGCUAGGGAGGGGAUGCAGUGGUGAACCACAGACCACCAGCACGGGCCGUGGUCUGACCUACGGUCCGUGGAUGGCAACCAUGGGUUGCACCUGCAACUUCUAAAUAUUUGCAUUUUGGUAUGUUUCGAAUACGGGGUGUUACACUAAGAACUCAGGUGGAUUCAUUCUAACAAAGUCUCGCACUCUAAUUACAGCUGCCCCAACAUUUGCAUUUGCCGGAAUUGGAACCCGCUGAUUCUUCUGGUUGGUGACACUCUGAGCAAACAUCUGAAUGGCGUUUCAGAAUUCAGUAUUCGAAACUUCCUGAUCUGGGACGGGAGGAGUUAUGUUUGCGUUCUUGGCAUUCACAUUCAUGGUGCUAGCUCUACGAGGAUGCAUGAUCUGAAACGUAGAACGUCACGUUAGAACAUAAAUUAGAUCUUACCUUACGCACGAUAACAGUAAUAAGAAAAUGAAGUUUUUCCUAAGACACCUUGUACCCUCUCUCUCAUUAGAUGUGGUGCACUUCACACCCAUGAAAAGGACUCUUUUUAGUGCGGUUUUUCAGACAUCCUACGACACUUAAACCUAAUGCUCUGAUACAAAGUUUGUCACGCCCCAAACUACCCCCGAGACGCGGACACGAUACCUAGGAUCGCGAUUGACCCCAAGAUAACCUUGCUGGCAUAAUCAUAAGCAUGUUAAGAAUAUCAAACUGAUGCGGAAGUUUAAAACAUGAAGUAAAUCUGAAAUGAAGGGGAAUAUCCAUAUACUAAACUGAAUAUAUGAAAUCUGAGAUUUUUAAUACAAAAGAGAUAUCAAACUCAAAUACUAAGCUGAAACUAACUAUGUCUGAGAAUAGUCUCUAACUGACUAGAAGUGCUGGGACAUGCCCCAGCUAAGUCUAGCAAAACUGAAACUAAAAGACUGAAAUGAAAGAUAACAUGACUAUUGUCCUCCAACAAUGAGGAUUCACCACUGUAGCUUCCAAACUGAAGAUCGAGAAUUGAUCUAUGCGUUAUCUGGAUGCUGAGAACAUGAACCUACAUCACGAGAAGAUGUAGCGCAGAGUAUGCGUAAGUAAUUGAAAGGCAUUGAGCAUGCAAGAUAGAGUAAAGCUGAACAAUAACAUAAAUGAACCAAAGCAUAUAAGAAGAAUAUAAUCUGAACAUGAUAUAGAUGCUGAAUACUGAACUAACUAAAUGCAAUGACCAAAUUUAUAACAUGCUGAGACUGAAUACUAACUCUACUAAAAUGUGGUCAGUGCAAUGUAGUCUGACUAAACUGUGGGAGCUACUAAUAACCGGUAAUAAAACCACAUGAGCUAAAUAUGGAGUCAGUUGUAUAUGCCCCUAUCAAGAGGACCUAAUCUACCCUGCAAGAGGUAUAGAGGCAUAUUGGCGGGAUCACUAAAAUGUUGCCCACAUAGGGGACUUACAACCUAUAUGGCUCGUAGUUCUAGGAUUAUAUGGGUGACUGACCAUAGCCCAACUCGGUAUUAUGCUACUCCCAAUAGAUUAAAUGAUUUGACUCAUUAUGACUGAUUUUCUGUAAUAUACUAGAUAGGUCAAAUCUGACAUGGAAAUUGAGAAUGUACAUUUAUAUACUGAUAAACACACAUUCAAAAUGGAGGCAUGUAUAUCUGAAAUAUCUGACUUAUCAUCUGUAAUUCAAGAACUAAAGAAAUACAAAGCUAGGGUUCUGAAAUUCAUGCAAG